ACAUACAUUCCAGGAAUCAAACCAAGAAGUUAAUUUAAAAAAAAAAAACAAUGGAAAUGUGUUGAUCUGCAACCUUGGAUGAUUAUGUUAUAGUUGUGAUACGGAAGGCAAAAGUCAGUUUCAAACAAAACAGAAAAAUCAGGAGGAAAAAAUGCUUACUGUGAACCCACACAUGGCUUUUACUCGACAUCAGAGACUCAAUACAGGAGAGAGACUGAAUGAACUUAAAGGAUGUGAGAAAGCCUUCAUUUCUGCCUCAGACCACACUCAACAUCAGACGGUUCACAUUGAUGAGAAAUUCUGUGAAGAUAAGGAUCUUGGGAAGACAUUUAUUCCUGAUUCAGAAUUUCAGACAGUUCAUACUGGUAUUUUCACCAGCAACCUGUUGCCUCAAAAGUCCAACACUUAGGACUGAACUGAGAAAAACUGUAUGCUACGUUUCUGCUCAAUUCCAAACGGAACUUCAGCAUUCUGGGGAAAGAACAUGGUGCAUGAAAAUGAAACUCACACUUUGUGGGGACAUCAGCAGGACUAUACAUUUAUCAGCCAGAUGUGUUCUUAUUAGGAAAAGGCCAAGAUUCCUGGAUGUUUUUGAAGAAUGAAGUAAGAGGACCUUGCCCAG
rnacentral:lncRNA from 1 species